AUGUUGACUGUGUACCUUACACCAUCUCUGUUACUUACUCUGUUAAGCACCACUAGCCAGCUAGACUACAACUAUAACCAAUUUUCACUACUGCUUGGGCAUUUAACAUUGGCCGCUAGAAAAGAUUUGGGGAAAAUGGCUCAUAUGAGAAUUAUGAAGACUAUCGAGCAUAUGAAGUCUAUUUGGGCCAGAAAAGGAAAUUCCGCCCUCUCCCUGCUGACCCAUCUAAUGCUGAGUAACCAGAGGAAAAUCUGCCACUGGAAAAAGAGGUGGAAUAUGAUGCUGGUUGACCUACCUAACAGCGUUGAAAUUCUCAGGCCCCAGAUGGCAGUGUCAGACUCCUCUCUUGGCCACGGGCAUCAGGGCUUGAUUGCACAGCAGACAUCCGAAAGCAUGGAGGUCCCGGCUCCUUCCAGCUGCGAGAAGCACAGGCCUUAAUAGAUUAAGAGACUGCAGUAAAAGCUCCCUUGGAUUUUCCAUGCGCUCGGUGCUUUGCCAGCAUCAAGCUGCUAAGGGCAGGCCAGGGAUUUGCCCAGAGAUGCAGCCACAAGUCUGAUGUAACAUUUGAACACAGGCGCUCAACGUUACAAACCAGAGUAAGCACCUGGGUUUGUUCUCAGCUGAAAACACCAGCAAAACCUACUCUGACUGCCUCAUGCCUGUGCGACUGAUGACACCGAUACAUAUACUCAAGUGUAUGCGUCCAUGUGUGGAUAUAUAAAUGUAUGUCUCUAUAUACAGGACAGAAAGGGGUUGGCAAAUAGUUGUUGCAGAGAACUUGUAGAACUUGCGGAAAAAUGGACAUUACUGCAAAAGUCUAGAUGGUUGUUUCUCCUCUAAAAUUCAGGGUAACGAUGUACUUCAAAUGUCACAACUCGGUAACAGCUAGUAAAUAUUGUUACCUGAUUUUGCUACAAGCCUCAGGAUACUUGUUAUUUUUCACAGAGAGAGUUGUUUGAGAGUUCCACUUUAAAAUGCUUUUUUUUCCCCUGGUUUUUUCGCUUUUAUUAAAAAAUCAGGAAAGCUUGAAAAUUUGACUAAUUCAGGAAUCAUAAAUAAAAAGAACUGGACUUUAGUUUUAACA
rnacentral:lncRNA from 1 species